UAAUCCCUAAUGCUUUUUCUCCGUGGUCCCCGCCGAAAUUUAGAGUCAAAGUCCAAGAAGGGAACUCUGCCGAAUUGAGAGAAACCAAGUCCACAAGGUGGGUCCUGCCGAAUUGCUUCUUGUUUCCCAUCUCUGUACGUUACUUCUCUUAAAGGCCAAAUGAAGAAAAGCCUUUUCUCCUCUCGUGGUCCCCACCGAAAACAAGAGUCCCAAGUUACAAAAGUAGCUCUGCCGAAUUCUCUCCUUUUGUUUUCUAUUGCUCAUCAAAGACUCCCAUCAGCAACCGAAAUUUUUGUUCUCUUGCAGCACCAUGUGGGCCCAACUUGUAAAUCCGCUGGAGGCUCUAAUGUGUGGAGAAUUUUUCUCAGUAAAAUCUCCUUAUUAGCAUUUGUCAGUUCAACUUCCUGUAGAUAGGUCCAAAUACCAAAUAUAAGUAUAUAUUAACAAUUUAAAACAAUAUUUGGUAGGGACAAGGGAAAAUUAAUAAUAAAAUUACUAACAAUUAACACCCUAUCAAUUCUCCCCACACCUAAAUCAUGCUUGCCCUCAAGCAUGGGACGACAAAUAACACCAAAAUUUGAAAAUGGGUAUUGCUCCAUCUACCCUAUUGCCAAGAUACCAAGGAAAACAUCUAUCAAGCAUCAGUGAUCAGGGUUCAAGAAACAUCACCCCAGUUAGCUUCUGAACUAUAAACUCCUCUAAUUUAAAACAAACUAAUCUAAGAAAAAGGAAUGGUUACUCACAUUUAUCAGCAAAUGGCCCAACUACUAACCAAAAUCUCGACAUUAAGAUCACAAACCGGAAAGUUGACUUAUUCACAUACUAACACAAUCUUUAUUUUCAUUCUUUUUUUUUUUUUGAGUAACAAAAGACUUAGUCUAUAGCCCUUAGAGCCUUUUGACGCGAACUCCAACAUUUGAUAGAUGGAGGAGCCCGGUUACUCAGCUCCAAUCGCUAUAGGACCACGCACUCAUAGUAACUACUACCUUUUGACGCGAGAAUCGACACUUUAGGUGAAGAUCCCCGGUUACUCAGUAGUAACAACUAGCGGAGUACAGUUAACUCUUAUUUACAACCAUAUAGCACGAAAACUAAAAAUAACACAAAAAAUAAUAGCAGCCAGCCUCAAAUUUCCAAACAUGGAGAAUUAAAAUUAAUAACUGGACCAAUUCACAUGAAAAAUGCCAACAAUCAUUCCCUAUGCCUAGAAAAGUUAACCAAAAAUUAGAAGAGUCAAGCAAUUACUGAUAUUCACCAGAGAGAUGUCCCUGAACUCAACUACAUCAACUUGAUACCUUUUUAUUAAUAAAACUUGGCAAUAGCAUAAUUAGAGGCAACAAUCCAGCAUCAAAACUUGGUAGUCAUAGAAGAGCUGACCACUAGAAAAAAGAAAAGAAAAUAAACGAAAAGGGAGAUAAAUAUCAAACUAAAAAUAAAGGAACAGCCUUUAGAAACUAAAAACAAAAAUACUAGCACCCCAAACUGACCCCCCCACACCUAAUUCACACAUUGCCCUCAAUGUGAUAAACUAACAGCAAAAGGAAGGAGAAGGGUAACGGUACUUCCCUGAAAUUGUCAAAACAGGAGUGGGUCGGGCGGAGUGCUGCCAAAUUCUGCACCAUGUUAUGCAACUUGCAUUCGGAGUUGGACCCAGUCGUUAGCCCCUGGGGUAGGAGGAGGCUGCGAGUGUCUAGGUGUCCUAAACCUAGAAGCGGAUCUUGGCCUUACCAUGAUCUCUAGAUGUCACUCUAAUCACAAGGGACUACAAUUGCCAACAGAUAAUGGAAAUAGGAAUUUCAAAUUAAUAACAAAUUUUUUUUUUGUUUAAAACCAACCCAAUGAACAAUAGGCACAAUUCAAUCACCCACAGGUUAUACGAAUACCUCAACACUAAUAACAAAUGCAAUCAAUGAGCCCCUGUGGUCCAAAUGUAGUCAAAUUCAGAAUAAAUUUAAGCGUAACAGGCACCUCUUAAUUUAACCAACAGCCGCAGCAAAUUACCCACAACUCGACACAAAUUAUACAAUUUAAACACAAAUGGACCCAAAACCGUGACAACUGUCUCCAAUUGGACAGUUAAAUACCCAAUUCAACCUGCUAAAAUUAGCAAUUGACCACAGAAAUUGGCAAUUCCAGCAACCACCGUUCAGGAUUCGAAAAACAAUUUAAGCACUAAGGAUCAAGAAACUGUAAGCAACAAUGCAACCAGUACCACUGGUGUACACGCAGGGAGGAUUUAAAUCAAAUAGCAGCAACUCAAUAAAUAUCAGAAAAAUAUCCCCACGUAUGGCAGCAGUUAAACCCAAUUUCGUCCAAAAUUUUACCCUAGAAAUUGCCCAAAACAACACCUUCUUCUAUUCAUCAGAAACCCAAACACAAAUUCCAGAAAUUUAUGCUAAUCGGGGAAGAAAUUACAAUACCUCCACCUGUCAAUUUUGACAGGUGAUGACGUAGCAAUGGAGGAGCGUCGGAAAGCGGCAGUGCGGCUCCUCAGCGAAGUGGACCGUGAGGUGGUCUGGUUGUGGGCGAAAGCUGCGCGCGAGGGAGGAAGUAGGAGGUUGACCGCUGGUGGAGAUAGCCGACAGCAGUGGCGGCGGAGGACAGCGGACAGAACCGGAGGAAAGCUGGAGUGGCGGUGGUGGUGCGCCGUGGGCUGGACGAGCUGUGCGGAGCAAGGAGGCGGCGUGCGAAGAGCUGGUGGCACACGAGGUGAAGCUGGAGCUGGAGGGAGGCGCGGCUGAGAGCUCGUGAGGGAGGAGCGGCGCUUAGGCAGAGUGGAGGAGAGAUUAGGGGAGCUUGGUGGUGCGAGGCGCGGCUGGGUUGGGCUGCGCGCUGUCGGCGGCGGCCGGAGGGGAGUGAGAUCUGGUGCCACGCGCAGGGGGCUGUGGUGGCGCUGGGCUUGGGCUUGGCUCACGGGCGGCGUGGUUUGUGCGAUGGAAGAGAGAGGACUAGCGGCGCGCGGCGUGGGUUGGUGGAGGCCUGGAGGCGACGGUGGAGGCGCUCGUGGCAGACAGCAACGGCGGCGAUGUGCGCAGAGCUGGAGUGCGGCGUGCUGGUGGCGCGGCUGUCGCGAAGCUCGGGCAGGCGGCGGCUCUGGUUGAAGGAACAAGAGAAAAGGGGAAAGCAGGGGCAGCGGGGAAGAAGGAAGAAAGAAGAAAGAAAAGAAAGAAGAAAAGAAGAAAAAGAAAUUAAAAUGGGUUUUUUUUUUUUUUUUUUUAGAAUAAGGAACCUCUGGUCUAGGCGUGGGGCACGCCUAACUUCCCCUAGUCAUUUUGACCACCCGUCGAAAAUUUUAGAUCCUUUAGCGUGACCACCUGGCGUGGGCACGCUUAACUGCUAUAGAGUCUGCAGAUCAUGAACGAAAAUUCCUUUCCCUCAGGCGUGACCACCUGGCGUGGGCACGUCUAACUGCCAAUUUCCUGUCACCAACCAUCAACCUAUUAAUUGACACUAACACUUAACUAAAACUUCAAAAAUGUAUAAAAACUGAAACAAAUAGUCUUGGGUUGCCUCCCAAGUAGCGCCUUUCUUUAAUGUCUUUGGCUAGACAUUGUCCUGUUUAUUCAUGGAGGAUAAAAUCGCGUAGCUCGCUUCAGUGCUUCAUCCUCUAUGGAAUCUUGAUAGCCCUCGUAAGUACAGUAAUUUUUUAGCACACGAGCUACAGUCUUCCAUGGACUAGUAGAUGGCGCCAAACAACCAAGUAAUGACCUUAAAUCUUCAUUCACUCCUCCAUCACAAGCACUUAUUGGUUUGAGAUAUUUUGCCAUCGUGACUUUUGACUUGUUCCUGUCAUGAAAUUUCAAAUUUUUUGGUAUAAUAAAAUCAAUUUCAAUAACAAGAAUUGAAGAAUAGGAGUCAGGAAAAUAUUGAUUAAGGAGUGGAGAAGAUGUCACCGCAUUUGGAGAUUGUUCACUGGAUUCAUUCACUUGAACCAUUUGAUGUUGGGGUCUCAAUUCUUGCUCUUCAACUUUCUUUUCAACUACAUCUUUAGAUUCUUCUUCUUGAGACUCUUGCAGUACCAUGUCAUGUGUCAGAAUAAUUGCACUCUCAUCUUCCUCAUGGUCGAUAAUAGUCGGUGAGGGCAAUUCUUCAUAAACUGGAGAAAUCAAUUUGCUCGUUUUAAAUGCCCAUUCAAGCCUUGCUUCUUUCAUCUCUUUACUCAUCCUUUGUGCCUCCUGUUGAAGUUGAUGUACCUCCUGUUGAAUUUGAUAUGUGUUAGUAGCUAUUAAUUCAACUAUUUCUUCAAGAGACAUACCUGACAUGGAUGACGGUUCUUGAGACUCAUACUGCUGAAAAUUCAUUGGCUGCUGAAAAUUCAUUGGCCCUGUUGUAUAAUUAUAGCUGGAGUUAUCCCACCAUCCUCGAUCAUACCCGUUUGGAUUAGGGUUAUACCACGUUUGAGACCAUGGUGAAAAAUCUCCAUAAUUAUUGAGUGGGACACUCGGAUUAUCUUGAUAUUCGGGGCACAUACCGGUCGAAUGAUCCCUGGCAUAACAAAUUUCACAGGUUGCAGCAGCCAUUCUUUCUCUAAUAGAGUUUAGUGCCUCUAAAUAUGCAAACUUAGAAAAAAGAUCAGUCUCAUUGCCUUCCUCGGAAACAAAAUCCAGUAAAUCACCAAAAUACGGAGUGUUAGAAGCCAUAAACUAUAUAAUAAAAAAAUAAGAGAAAAAAAAUAAAUAAAAAUAAAAACAAGAUGAACUCAAAAAGAAACAAAUUAAUCUGGCACCAGUCCCCGGCAACGGCGCCAAAAAUUGACAGGGUGUCAAACCUGUGCAAUAAUAAAUACCUGCUUAAAUAAAAUAUAAUUUCUAUAGAUAGUGAUAAGCAGGGUCGAAUCCACAGGGACUGGGGAUAAUUUAUUUCUUUUAGAGUCCGAAGUAUGGGGGGAUUUUGAAAAUGAGAGUAACUAAAUUACUUGGAAUAAAUUAAAAUAAAAUAAAAUAACUACAACUCAAAUAACUAAUUAUCACAAUAAAAAUAAUAAUGGACGAACUCUAGCCAAGAGACAACUUCGGAGAUGGUUCACUUAAUUCGAUCACAGAUGCAAGGAUUAUUCCAGUUACUAUCUGAUAAAUUAGUUAUAGUUGUCAUACACGCGAUAAACAACCAACUCUUCCUCAAUUUGUCGAUAGCCAAGGUACGACCGUUGACUAUUUCUCUAAUCAGGAAACAACCCUAGGUACGACCAUAGAAGUUUAAUUCCCUAAUUGCAUGAAUAAUUAGAAGAGCCUAAUUCUAACCAAUCAACACGCUACGAGGGUCUCUUUAAGUUAGCCUGUCUAUCUCCCUGACACAAAUCCAAUCAUGCCAGUUGCCACCAGUUUAGAAUAAUUAAACAAUUACGGAUUUAACUACCCUAAUUGGCUUCAGGUUAUUGAAUUAAUCUAGAAUCCGGUCCCUGGAUAAUCGAAUAAUAAAACAACCAUAUGAACAUAAAGCAGAAGAUAGACAAAUACCAGUGAAUAAUGGAAAUAAAUAAAAACUAAUUCGAUCUCACAAAUUUAGUAGAACCAAAUCCUUCGUUGUUCUUGACUAGACAAACUUAGCCAUGCCUCAUGAGAAAAUCUUCAAGUAAUUUCACUGAGGUCCAGGCCAUCAAAAGAGCCAAGAAAGAAAACAAAACAAAACUACGCUAAAAGCUAAGCUAAAACUAUUCCUUCCAGCCGCCUGUACGUUUCUUCCUUUUUAAAGCCAAAAUGACUAAUCCCUAAUGCUUUUUCUCCGUGGUCCCCGCCGAAAUUUAGAGUCAAAGUCCAAGAAGGGAACUCUGCCGAAUUGAGAGAAACCAAGUCCACAAGGUGGGUCCUGCCGAAUUGCUUCUUGUUUCCCAUCUCUGUACGUUACUUCUCUUAAAGGCCAAAUGAAGAAAAGCCUUUUCUCCUCUCGUGGUCCCCACCGAAAACAAGAGUCCCAAGUUACAAAAGUAGCUCUGCCGAAUUCUCUCCUUUUGUUUUCUAUUGCUCAUCAAAGACUCCCA
rnacentral:lncRNA from 1 species